UUAUAAUGAUGAAAAUAUUUUAACUGAGCCUUGAUGUAUUAAUUAUAUGAGCUUUUUAACACUGAAAAAA